CGUGUGGUUCUAUUUUGUUGGUUUCUAGGACCGCCGUAAUGAUUAAUAGGGACAGUCGGGGGCAUCAGUAUUCAAUUGUCAGAGGUGAAAUUCUUGGAUUUAUUGAAGACUAACUACUGCGAAAGCAUUUGCCAAGGAUGUUUUCAUUAAUCAGGAACGAAAGUUAGGGGAUCGAAGACGAUCAGAUACCGUCGUAGUCUUAACCAUAAACUAUGCCGACUAGGGAUCGGACGGUGUUAUUUUUUGACCCGUUCGGCACCUUACGAGAAAUCAAAGUGCUUGGGCUCCAGGGGGAGUAUGGUCGCAAGGCUGAAACUUAAAGAAAUUGACGGAAGGGCACCACCAGGGGUGGAGCCUGCGGCUUAAUUUGACUCAACACGG
rnacentral:rRNA from 1 species